rnacentral:tRNA from 1 species
GGGGCUGUGGCUCAGUGGUAGAGCAUGUACCUUGCAGGUAUGAGGCAUUGGGUUUGAUCCCUAGCACCA